UGGCGCUUGCGAGGGAUGGCGGGGGCACCGCGGGGGUGCUGGAGCAGCCCGGUGCGGGGGCUCGGGUCCCGGGGAGCGGCUGCUGGCUGCCGGUGCAAUGGGAGGGGUGGGCUGGAGCUGGCGCGGGGGCACCCCGGGGUGCAGCCCCCAAGGCCUCGGCUGGGGGUCACAAGGCUGCCCUGCAGCCCCUCCCCAGCCCCGACCCCAGCCAGCCCCAUCUCCCCUGGCCGCUCACCGGCGCGUCCCCCGCACCUACACCGCGGCACCGGCACCGCACCGGGUCAGCCACCCAGCCCGCACCCCCUGUCACCCCACCAACACUGGCACCAGCUGUCCUGGGUGCCAGCACCCCCACACUUAGGGACCCGGGGGUCCUGCCCUCCCCACACCCCGUGGGGGACAUCUCAGGACUUUGUCCCCGCAGCGCUGGUGGGAUGUGACCCGGUGCCGGUUUCAGUCCGGCCAUUCUUAGCCGCUGCCCUUUGGAGGUGUAACACGACCUGGCAGCGGCUGCGGCUCCUCUGGCCGCGGGAUGUCCCCUCCCUGCACCCCGUCCAGCCGGUUUGGGGUGACGCACUGUGGCCAAGCAGCCUUAAGUGCUUCUGUGCCUGGACCACGGCACCAUGUCGGCAGAAAAGCUCAAGCAGCACAAAAUCAUCUUUGUGGUGGGUGGCCCCGGCUCGGGGAAGGGGACACAGUGUGAGAAGAUCGUGCAGAAGUAUGGCUACACCCACCUCUCCACGGGGGACCUGCUGCGGGCAGAGGUCAGCUCGGGCUCGGAGCGGGGCAAGAAGCUGCAGGCCAUCAUGGAGAAGGGAGAGCUGGUGCCCCUGGACACGGUGCUGGACAUGCUGCGGGACGCCAUGGUGGCCAAAGCAGACGUGUCCAAGGGCUUCCUGAUCGACGGCUACCCCCGCGAGGUGAAGCAGGGAGAGGAGUUCGAAAAGAAGAUCGCGCCCCCCACGCUGCUGCUCUACGUGGACGCGGGGAAGGACACAAUGGUGAAACGCCUGCUGAAGCGAGGAGAGACCAGCGGGAGGGUGGAUGACAACGAGGAGACCAUCAAGAAGCGUUUGGAGACCUACUACAAGGCCACUGAGCCUGUCAUUGCCUUCUACAAGAGCAGAGGCAUCGUCCGCCAGGUAA